CAAUAGCGUAUAUUAAAGUUGUUGCAGUUAAAAAGCUCGUAGUUGGAUUUCUGGUGGGAGCGAUCGGUCUGGCGCUUAGCGCGAGUACUUGCAUCGUCUCCGGCCAUCCUUGGGGAGAGUCUGUCUGGCAUUAGGUUGUCGGGCAGAGGAUCCUCAUCGUUUACUGUGAAAAAAUUAGAGUGUUCAAAGCAGGCUUAUGCCGUUGAAUAUAUUAGCAUGGAAUAAUAAGAUAGGACUUUGGUACUAUUUUGUUGGUUUGCGCACCAAAGUAAUGAUUAAUAGGGACAGUUGGGGGUAUUCGUAUUCCGUUGUCAGAGGUGAAAUUCUUGAAUUUACGGAAGACGAACUACUGCGAAAGCAUUUACCAAGGAUGUUUUCAUUAA
rnacentral:rRNA from 1 species